AUUUUGCAGACUACAAGCAUACUCCAAGAAGCCAAACUUCACACCUCCAAACUUUAUUUGGAUUAAAUACUGUUCUGCUAGAUAGAAGCAGUGAUUCUGCUCAUCAGACAUACUGCUGCCUCAUCAAGAAUUGCUAUGUUUAUUUUGCCAGAGGCUGUAUCUUCAGAAAGGUUUUUGAAUGAAGACUCUUCCACAGCUGCAGGCAUAUCACACAGUAGACUGGCAGGAGAAUACUUCCUUCUCAUCUAUGUUCAGCAGAGGAAGAGUGGGAUUUUCUACCUGGCUCUAACCUGAAGAAAGAGUUCUUUCCUCAUAGCGCUACUGCUGGCCUGGGCUUCAUCCUUCCCGUAAAACUGAAUACACAUCUUCAGCAUUUCCUGUUGUCCCUCUUCAGACCCAGGAUGCCCAGUACAGGCCAAGUAAAGACUGCUGUGUACCUGUUCUAGCAGAUGAGACGUCAGGAAGUUCUUCUUCUUCUUCUUCUUCUUUUUUUUUUUUUAGUGUUUCACUAACACUUUUCAAACUAGCUAGAGCUACUUGAUAUCAACCAUAACACUUGGGACUGCUAACUGCCAGAGAGGGUUCAUUAAAGAGCUUUAAAUCUUUCUCUGACUAAAGUUUUCAGUUGUGUGAAUUAACUAAGUACUAGUUACCUACUCACUACUCUGGUCAAGGCAGGGAAAACAUUUUGUACUGUUCUACUAGACUGCUGUUUGUUAUAUAAGUUUCUGAAGCUUAUCAUUAAAACAGGCUUUGGUGUCACUGAAACUGUAACUCAGUUAACAGUGCCAAGAGCUGAUGGGAUAAACAACAUAUUGAAGUGUUUUUAUUGUCUUAUUGAUAAAGCUGUUUUGUAAUAUUUUCUUCUGUGUUCACACAGACUGUGUGUCCUAAUACUCAGUGACCCAUUGCCCCCUAAGUCAUUGAAGUACUCAGAAAUUUUAUGACCGGUCUUCCGUCAGGAAGUUAUACACAAGCUGAACUUCAGGCAUGUGAAGCAUCUCAUUGAAGUUUCCCAUUUCAAGUUCAUACCCAUGUGUCUGUAGGAUGAUAGUAUCUCAGCAUCUUCAUGCUUCUCGAUUAAAGGCUAGUAAUUGGAGCCAGCUUCCAGUAGUAUGGGCAACGUUUCCUUCUGCAGCACUGAGGUCUCAGGAUAGGAGCUCCUGUAAUAAAAAGAGAUAAAAAGGAUAGCCCAAGGGAAGUCAGAUUUACUGUUUCUGGAUGGGCCUACCUCAUGUAUUUCAAAUCCCAGUGGCCAUACCAGGACUAUAGCUUGUACAAAGUGAUGGCUGUGGGCUCUUGUCCUCAGCUAAUCUUGCUGCACCAGUAACCACUAAUCUUUCCUGUACCUGGAGCUGGCUACAGUCACCAUCAUUCUUGACAUUGCCAUAGCCCAGAGACAUAAGUAAGGAGACCAGAGAUAAAGUGACACCAAUGCACAACAAAAGGAUCCCAGGUGUACCAAGCCUCUCACUGAAGAAACUCAUUUCUCCCUUUUGUUCUGGAGCCAGAGAGUACUUGACAUCUUUGAGGUUUCUUGAGAGGUUUCUUCAUGGCCUUUUCCACAUAUCUGAAGCAUAACCUCUGACUUAUUUUCAUCUUAAAGCAAAAGUGAAAAUCUAUCAGAAGAGAACACCAAAGAAGAAAAAGUUGAUGAAAACUCCUGACUACUUGGAAGACAAAAUCAGAAAUGUUGCAGGUAUUUAUAAUAAAUGAACUGUUUGGACUAUAAGCUAUCUCUAUGAAGAGAAAUGUUGCCUUUGCUCCAUUCUCUGUAGUGAGGACAUUUGGACUGCAUUAAGCCACAGAGUGGGAGGGGAUUUCAGAAAAUUUUUCCUGCCAAAAUUGCAUGUAAGGCUGCUUAAAAAAAAAUAAGAGUCUGAUUGUUAUAAAGCUUAAUGUUAUGAUGUUUUCAAUUAGUUUAAAAGCUUUUUUUAUUGAUCAUUUUUAUUACGGUUGUUCAGUUAUUUUGUAACUCUUAUUUGGAAUAAGUCACAGUUUAUUUAAAGCAUCUUGAACUGCAUUGCUUUUUCAAGUCUUAUCAAGAACGAGUACUGUGCUGGGUCAGUCUAUACACUUUUAAGUUUUAGCAUUUUUAAUGUAAUGUUUCAAUGUUCAUUUUGUGUUUGUUUUUUAUCCAUUGACCUUGUUUUGUGAGAUUUUGUGUAAGGCUUAGCUUCAGUUUAUUUGAGGGUGCUAGACACCUUGUGGAAUUUUUGCUGUUGUUUUCUAAGUUUUAACAUAUUCUAAUACAUUUGUCUACAAGUCAAAUAUGAUAUGGAGACUUUUGUGAGUAGAUUUGUUUAUGUUACUUUUAUCUUACUUUCCUAACUUAUGUAAUGUAUCCUUAUUCAUUUGCAUUUAAAUAUUUCAUUUCUGGUUAAACAUAUUUUGUUCUGCCUUG
ensembl:lncRNA